rnacentral:siRNA from 1 species
UCAGAGUGGUUUGUGAUUUA